GGACCGGCGCGUAGAAGAGGAUGGAGUUGAUGCCCGUCAGGAUCUGGAACGCCGGCAUGCACACGGCCAUCACCAGCUGCGGCCGGUUGCGCGGCUGCAGGAUGUUCCGGAACGGGUGCUCGACGGUGUUGGCCAGCUCGCUCGCCUCCACCAUGUCCGUGAACUCGGCGUCCACGUCGGCCGUGCCCCGGAUGCGCUCCAGCACGCGCCGACCCUCCUCCACGCGCCCGCGCUCAAUGAGGCUGUUGGGAGUCUCCGGAAGAAAGAGCCCGCCCAACGUCAUCAGCAGCGCCGGCACCGCCGCGAGGCCCAGCGACAGCCGCCACCCCCACGGCUUGAUGUUCUGCGUGCCAUAGUUGAUCAGGUUCGCCGUGAAGAUGCCCAGCGUCGUCGCGAGCUGGAACAUCAUGUUCAGGCCGCCGCGGAGGUGCGCCGGCGCCAUCUCCGACAGGUACAGCGGCACAGCCUGGUUGCCAAAACCGAUGCCGACGCCGAGCAUGAUGCGCCCGAGGAUGAGCAUAGCCAGAUUCACGGCGGCCACGUUGAGGGCCGCGCCGAUGAGGAAGCUCACGCCGCCGCAGACAAUGCUAGCUUUGCGGCCGUAGUUCCUCGUCACGGG
rnacentral:misc_RNA from 1 species